rnacentral:rRNA from 1 species
UACGUAGGGGGCAAGCGUUGUCCGGAUUUAUUGGGCGUAAAGAGCGUGUAGGCGGCUUUGCAAGUCCGUUGUGAAAACUCGAGGCUCAACCUCGAGACGCCGGUGGAAACUGCAAAGCUAGAGUCCGGAAGAGGAGAGUGGAAUUCCUGGUGUAGUGGUGAAAUGCGUAGAUAUCGGGAGGAACACCAGUGGCGAAGGCGACUACCUGGCCUGUUUCUUGACGCUGAGGCGCGAAAGCUAGGGGAGCAAACGGG